AUUCCUUCAUUUAUAGUCUGCCACUAUAUAUUCGUUUUCCUAUAUAUUGAUUUCCUAGGGCCACCAUAACAAAUACAAACCAGGUGGUUUAAAACAAUAGGAAUUUACUAUCUCACCAUUUUGGAGGCCAGAAGUUCAAAGUCCAGGUGUUGGUGGGAUUGGUUUCCCUGGAGGAUCCCUUACAGCUUUGGAUGGCACUGCUGGGUGUCCUUAGCCUGUAGCUAUGUAACUCCAGCUCUGCCUCCAACUUCAUGUGCCCCAGCCACGCUGUCUCCUGUUCUUAUGAAGACACUUGUAUUGGAUUUAAGAAGAACCUGGAUAUGCCAACAUAAUCUCAUCUCAAAAUCUGCAAAGACUCUUCCUGACCUUCCAGGUAUCAAGACAUGGGACCAUCGGGCUGGCUGGGGAAGCAACAUGAGGUGCACUGUCAGACUUGGAAACCACAAACUAAGCAAGUGCCAUGAGACUGGGAGCUCGAGACCAUGCAGGCUGCCAGCCAGAAAGGCAGAGGAAAUGGCUUUCCUGAUGUUUUCAGGUAGGCCCCCAAAAUGUCUCCUAGUUGCCUCAAUUAGAUGCAUUUGUAACACAGUGGGAUGCACGAGAGGCUCUCAUUCACGCUUUAUACACAGCCCCACGCUCUCAUGCAGCAGUACGGGCAAGCCAGUCCCAGUUUUGCUGACGUACAGCUGGCCUGACAGCUCUACCAUCCCAGGGCAGAGAAGUUGAGCAGUUAGGAGCUCUGGGGUUCCUGGUGCCACACAGGAUCUGAGUGUCAGCCCUGAAUCUGCCUGGUCUUGGCGUGCUCAGGAAUGAGAGGCACAGUAUGGAACAAAAUGCCAUUAAGCGCCAAGUGCCCAUCUUUUAAGUGGAUGGUCUGAGAGGGUCUUUCUAAAGGCUAACACAGUGAAGCACGGCCACCCCACCUCACGUCCUGUGACAGCAGUGCAUGGGUGACUGUUAGUCCAAUCUACAAUGCCCAGGUGUUCGGGAGAGCUAUCAGCCCUGGUGCUGCACGCAGCCGCACAGCACAGGCUCUCUGGUGUGGUGCUGGCCUGCUGGCUGCCUUGCGAGAGCCUCCUGUCCACUUUUCAGCUUUGGCUUCUGGCUGGCUGGUUCCCUCACUGGUUGCAUAACCACCGUCUUUCUCAAUGGCUGUUCCUGCUUAGCCAGGUCUCUGUGACUUCCUCUCCAGCUCUGUGACAGUCACCUGCCCUCUGGCUGCACUGUCUGCCUUUUAGAAGGGAACAGAUGCCACAGAGUAAGAGGGUAAAUGGCUUCGGUUGCAGAAUCAGAUUUGGGUUUGAAUCCCAGCUGCCCUGGGGGGCGGGUAUUGGCCUUGCUAAGCAUCAGUUUUCUUCAAUGAAAUAGGUCCUUUGAGGGUAUACUUCGUGAGGAUGAUGCUUCCCCAUCCACGCUCCCUCCUUUUUCAGCCCCACCCUGUCUGUAGGUUGUUUCUGCCUUCAGUUCCACAUGGGCCAGGUGCCUCCCAACAUAGUCUGGGCCUUGAUCACACUACUCCUGCUCAGGCCUUACUCUGUGCAGACUAACACAGGUGUAAGCUGCCCCUGUGUCAUGCCAGUUGUGUCCAGAAUAGUCUUUCCCCAGAUUCCUGGUCCCCAUUGCCCUAGACUAGUGUCAGGGGACCCUCUCUCUGUGUGAUACGCUCUUGGGUCAGCCUGUUCAGUGAUGGCUGUGGUAUACACACAGAAUGCUUGUCCUCCUUGGAUAUGUACCUGAGAAAAGGUUCAAGCUCCUCCAGCUCUGCUGAGCCUUCCCUAGUGGCCUCACUAGUACCCCCACUUUCUGGGAACUCACCCUCCAGGGACAGGACAGGCUGAGCUGUGAGCAGCAGGUGUGUGGGGACUGCAGAGGUUCACAUGGACAGCAGCUGCAGCCUGGGGAGGGAGGAGCCCAAGCAGUUGUCAUGGAGGGACAGGUUGGGAGCCUGCCUUGAUGGCUGCAUAGGGUGCAGGUGGACUCUGCUCUUCAGCUGGGGCAAGCCCCUUGUCUAAGUGUCUCGGCUGUGUGAGAGGUGGGUAGGGCGUUCUGCCUUAGAAACAGGGAUGUGCGAAACGGCUGUCACUUCCCAUGUGGACACUUCUGCACGGGGUUUAGAUUUCCCCCACUGUGCUGCGGGCUGCUCCCUGGCCUUUACCAUUUCCCCCAGUUUUGUGUGGCUUUUGAACCACUGCCAAUUUAAAUUUGUCCUAGCCAGAGGCCACUCCAUUCAGAGGUACAGACUGAGUCAUCAGGAUCCUAGGGGGAGAACAGUGGUACCUAAGAGGAAGAACACUCAAAAGGGACGAUGGCUCCUUACAUGGGGCUGGAGAGGCGAUGAGGCAGCUGGGAAGUAGCAUCGCUGCAGGGCACAAAUAAACUAGUGAGGAGUUCCGGUCAGCUCAUUGGUUUCAAUCUAUUUCUUUUACCUCUAAACCUAAGGCCUAGAGAGCAGAAAGGCUGAUGGCACUGCUUGGGCAGGUCAGGGAGCACAAGGUAUUCCCAGGCUCCCUGAGACUGGCACAGGGACUGCUUGGGCAGGGGCUCCAUUGCCCGGCUAUGUGACCUGAGGUGAUUACUUAAUCCCUCUCAGCUUCAGGUUCUUUGGCUUUGCAUGGAUUUAAGGAUAGUGCUCACCUCUUAGGGUUGCUCUGAGAUAACACAGACAGAGGGUUCAGCAGGUGUCCAGGGCUGUGUGGAUCCUGAUAGAUGGAGGCUUAAAAGACACAGGUAUCUUUCCUUUCAAGCUUAUAAAUCUAAGGAAAGUUUAAUCAAAGCCCCCAAAAUAGUCAUUCCCUGUGGACUGCUCUGGAGAGGGGAUGUCUCCUAAUGUCAGACAGAGACUGGGGAGUAGGGUGUCCAUGGAUACUGUGACUAGGAUGGUUACAAGUGGGAGUGUCUCAUCCACCACCAGCCAGGGCAGACAGGCUAAAGAAGAAGGCAUCACCCAGGAGGGUCCUGGUCAGCCUUCACAUUUGGAGAGGCCGGGCUUCCCCUAGAGAAAGUGACUCCUACUCUUAUCCGUGUUUGCAUUUAUAUUCUUUAAAUUUCAGCAUGACUUUGAUGCCAGAGACACUGGAUGCCACAAACAAGCAGUUUUAUUUCCCCUCCUAAACCCCCUGUGAUUUACUGGCUGGCUCUGGUGUAAUCCCAUUCUUUCCUCAUGAAAGGGAGGGCAGCUGUUUCCACGGCUGUGGGACGAGGUCUGCCUGACAGAUGUGGGCCCAGGGAGCACGGCACAUGUGCUGCCUUUGGCAUUUUGCCCUCUUAAAAGCUUUCAAUUGAUUAUUUUAAAAAACUUUUUACUCCAUGAAAAAUGUAAAUAAGUUUGUAAUAACAGAUGCUCUUUUAUGGGAAUUACUUUUAUGCUUCAAUUAAAAUUUUCCCAAUAGCCAUAUGAAAGAGCGUGAAAUUAUUACCUCCAAUAAAGGCUCCCAUUGCCUCGCUCUUCGGAAGCACCUUUCAUCAGAGUAGAUCAAAGUGCAUCCAAAGCACUAAUUAACUGAGCCUCAGAGCCAUCUGUGAGCAAAGGUACUCCCUAUGGCCUCACUUGUUAAGGAAAGUUAGGGAACAGCAAAGUUGAUUCAUUUGUGGAAGGUCACACAGCACCAUGACAAAGGAUAAACCCGUGGGAGGGUGGAAGAAACAGGAAGUACGGCUACUUAAACUCUGAUCUACUUUGUAAAAGUAAAACAAAGGUCUUGAAUCUACUUGGGGACUCAUUCUGACACCUAUAACACCUCCAGAGCUCCAGGGCAGGUUAAGUCACUGGAUGCUUGGUGACCAUGUUGUGCAUGCCAGGUGCUCUUUCUAUCUCUGUUAACUUUUUAUUUGAUAUGUAUUUAAAUGGUUUUGACUUUUAAAAUGGUGGUCCAUGCAUGCUUUUGAUAGGAGAUUAGAAUAAGGAAGUCCAGGGACUGAAAAUGGAGAAGGCUGCCUAAAACAACAGGAAGCACGUGGGAGUCCCCAGCUCAUCCUCCCACAUAGGGGUGCAGAAACUUUGGCACAGGCUUGCACUUUCACUUGGUUUCUGCUCAGGAACUUUCCUGCGCCCUUCUCAGUCCCCUCGAACCAGGGCCUGGGCAAGGAAGUCUUUAUCCUGCCCCUGUGCUGCUUGUUAGAGGUGGCAGUAAAAGGCUCCCGAGCAUCAUUGUCAGGCGCAGCCACAGAGCUCCUCAGUGGGGUCUUUUGGUGGGUCUCAGUGAUCACGUGUGACUGGGCCAAGGAGAAAGGGUGAGCCAGGGGGACGGUGGCAGUAUCUACCUGUGGACAGGGCCUUCUGAGCAACCCAACAGGAAGUACACUCAGAGCUGGUGCUGUGGCACCACCCGAGGCACAGAAUGUCAGUGUUGGUAGAAUUAUAGGGACUUCCUCAUGGGAAAAGACAAAACUCCACUCUUUCUGUUCCUUGUGAAUGUGAAAGGCAAGUGCUAGGGUGAGAGAGCUGCUUUCCAUACAUGGCAAUGGCCUAGGAUGGCUGCACAGGGUUACCUGGGAGGACAGUGCAGCCUGAGGUUCAGGAGAUGCCACUGCUGCUGCCCCAUGGCCCUGCUCCUGACAGGAGGGCUCAGGAGCAAUGGUAGGUGCUCCAUCCAAGCCGCGCCACUACAGCAAUCCUGGCACGGCCCCUUUGGCCCCAAAUGCUAACAAGUACAGCUUUCUAAAGGCCUUUUCUGUUUGUUUCAGGGCUCAAUCUCCAGCAUUCUAGAAGCUGGUGACUUAGAACCCUGGCAAGGAGGGCCCUGGAGAAGUGACAGGCAGUGAGGCCCCAUUUCUGAGGUAGCACUGCUCUGAUAGGCCCCCGCAUCAUGGCAGUGUUGUCAAUAUACUCUCCCUCUAAAAGUUUCUUUAGCUUCCAGAACAGACCUAAGACAUGACACAGGAUGGAUGAUUAUGCCCGUUUUACAGAGUUGGGUGCAUUUAUGUGCCAUGGAGAAGGCUAAGCCAGGACUCUACUCCAGGCCUAAUACCAAUACCCCCAAAGAAUCUGAAUACUGCUUUCUGGCACUGGGAAGUGGGCAUCCAGGGAAGGAGUGGGAUGUAGCAAAAUCCUACCUGCAUCCUCUGCUCUUAAAAGGCUACUCUGCCAGUGGUGUGCCUCUGGGUUGUCUGUCUGUCUCAGGGUUAAGUAUGCAUUGGUGAGUCUAUCUGGGGUAUCUGAGGGUUAUGAUGCAGCCAGGCCCAGUACUGUCGUAUUAUCUCCUAACUCUUUGUUCAGUACCAUCAGGUCCUGUUUGUUCAUCCGCAGGCCAUCAGAUCAACUAGAGCAAUGGGACAGGAGGUAAAGGAUGCUUGAGAAUAAAAAGGUAAGGAGAAGGGAGGCAAAUCGCAUAGUUCCAGGCUUAUUCUGGGAAGGUCACUCUUUAGCAUUCCUAUAUUCCAUUCACACCUCCUGCCUUCUCCACUUAAGUUUUAGUGUCCUUCUGAACUCCCCAAGUCUCUGUAAUCCCCUUCAAUGAUGACACCUGCUGUCAUAAAUCACAUUCUGUAUCAUC